UGACUUCUUUAGCCAUUCAUUCACAAAUGGACACUUGACUUCUUCUGCCCUUACCUGUUCUGAAUAGUGUUACAGUCUACAUCCGUUCUUAUUGCUAUUAUUUGUUCAACAUCUCCAUUUAUAUCUUUAUGGGCUUACUCCUGUCUACAUCUUUCUUUCUUCUGUGGGACACAUUUCCUGCUCCACAUUUCCCUGCUCCCCAGAUCUUUCCCACAGUGCCUCUCCUAUUCAGAUCCUUGAUCUGUCUGAAAUCUCUUCCCCAUUCUACUCUCCUUCUUCUCAUACCCGGCCUGGAAUUUAAAGGACUAACAUGUCCCUCUCUUCCUACAGAUGAUACAGGAGCCUACAAGCUCAGAGCCAUGAUUCCCACCCAGAGAAGCUCCCUGGGUUCAAGAUGUACCCUAUCGACUUUGAGAAGGAUGAUAAUACCAACUUUCAUAUGGAUUUCAUUGUGGCUGCAUCCAACCUCCAAGCAGAAAACUAUAAUAUUCACCCAGCAGAUGGCAUAAGAGCAAGCUGAUUGCAGGGAAGAUCAUCCCCAAUUGCCACAACCACAGCAGCUAUAGUUGGCCUCAUGUGUCUGGAGUUAUAUAAAGUGGUGCAGAGACACUGGCAGUUUGACUCUUAUAAGAAUAGCUUUAUGUAGGCCCUGCCUUCUUCACUUCUCUGAACCCCUUGGCCCCCCCCA